GGAAUCGGUCCCGCGCAACGGGGCCCCGCGAACUGUGUCAGGCGGGGAACCGAGCAGCACUAAACGGAACGCCCCGUGUGCCGCGGGAGGUCCGUUUCCGAGC
rnacentral:SRP_RNA from 1 species